UACAUCUACUGGCUAUUUGGUGACCAACUGGGCUAUCUGUCCUCUGUCCAGGGAAAGCCACCACAUAACUUCUUUCUCCUGAAUCUUCUCUCCAGUGUUCUCCAUCCGUUUAAUCUAUUAAUGUAACAACAGUGAAGUUCAGUCUAAUCUUCUACAAUGGCUACUCAUACUCGCAGAGCUUUUACUGAUAGCAUUGUCAUGUUGGUUAUAGUAUCUUUCUAUCUCUAAAGAGUAUUUUACAGCAUUUCUUGUAUUACGUAGUGUACUCCAGCUCUGUAAGACAGAUAUGAUUAAGCCUGUGUGCUAGGCCAUUUUUCUGCUGUGGAUCGCAUGUAACAAGCAUGUGGUAAACUGCUAAACCAGCACGAGUCACAAGCAAAAUCUAAUUUAAGAGAAGAAGGGAUAAAGGAUGAAUGUUUGCAAUAGAGCUGCAACAGAGAGGAGGGGACCUCGCCAGGUCAACUCCUUGUUCUGUGAGCAAAGCAAUGCCUGCUCACCCUGCCAAGCUUGGAGGCUAUCUCUUUAAGGAAGGAUGCUUUUUCCAAAGUAGUCAUCUCUUUUUCUCUGCCUGUGCCUGUCGUUCCAGUCAAACCAUUCCUGCUCCUGAGCUCUGUUCCUGGCUUGCUGUUAUUGCACUGCUGCUGGGUGGCAGUGGCCCUCCAGGUUAGGAGUAAGGAGAGAGUCUGGAUGUAACAUUGCUUUUCUGUAACAUAUACAGGUGCCAGGUACAGAACAGAAAUUUUCAAAGGGUUUUCACCAAAACACCAGCCUUGGGACUCUCCUCAGCUCUGAUAGUUCUCCUUGUUGAAGGCUGGGUUGCUUGAGGAUGAUUGCAUGGGCGUUGAUGUAGAGAAAAGCAUCAGGAUGAGCGAAGAAUUAGUAAUAAAUUGUUCCAGGAGUGGCAAAAUUAGUGAACCCUGUUGCUUCUGGAUUAAUUUAUUUAUCUAUCCUUGCAGUAUUCCUUAGUUAGAAAUUAAUGUUUCUUCGACCCUUCCACGCAAUACCUCUAAGCCCUCUCUAUCCCCUCAUGUACACUUCCAUAUCUUCUCUCUCCCCCUGUGCCCAGCUAUGCAACUUUUUAUAUCCAUUACCUAUAUAUAUAUUAUAUUCUUUAGGUGAACAGGUCUCAUACUGCAUUGCUACUGCCUUCCGAAGUGGGGGUGCUCGUCUGAGUCCUUCCUGGCCAGAGGUGGUUCACAAAGCAGAGGUGUGAUUCCAGAUCAUGUAUGCGGAGUUUCAUCAAGGCUGCUGCUCUGCCGGCCCACGUAAAGGUCACUGGGAUCUUUAAGAAGAAGAGAAGUCAGCUCCAAAGUCACUGCUGAAAAUUAUGUCCUGGGAACAAGUGCUGGAAGCUGGUCACCGCCCGGGCUGUUGCAGGGGAUAUACAGUAGGAAGUCCUUUAAAGCACAAACACUUUACCUGUGAAAUUAAUGAUCUGGUUUAAACUAGAAAUUAAUUCCUAUGUAUCGGUUGUUCCUAUGCAUUGGUUCCCUAUUUAACUGCAAAGUUUUGCUUGCUUCUGUUCAGUCUGCAAUUGAUUUGUCUGUCUUCAUAGAGAGGAUUAUGCCAGGAACCUGCAGCUUCUGGUGUCAGAAUGGUAAUCCAUGGAGGACAAGGUCUCUUAGGUACUCAGAAUGUGUUCCAAAAAUGUCCUUAAAAUCUAAUGUCUUUCUCCCUUAGGAGCUUUAGGAAUCACCUGUUGUGAACAGGAAUAAGGUACGCAAGUGUGAACCUGUUUCACCAGCAACUGUUGCAGUAUUUGCAAUGCAUAAGUCACAGUAAGAAAACAUUAUUGAGCAUUUGGGAGAGGUGAACGUUUUUUCAAUAAUUUUCCUUAAUGACUGUGCCCUUUUCUGACUAAUGCUCUCUGGAUUUUAAUGAAAUAGCAUGGGUUUGCUAUAGGCGCUUUUCCUAGGCAGUAAACAAAAGAGCAUUGAUGGAAACAAAUUACCAGUGUGUUGACCUCAGAGGAAAAUCUCUGCAAACAGGAGGUAGGACACGGGCUGCUACUCUGCACUGUCAGAUCACUGCAGGAAGCAGAUAUGCAGAUGACGAUGUCUCAGAAAGCAUUAGAAAACAGGAGGCAGAGGUAUCCUAGAGGAUUAAGAACAAUUGUCAUAGCUAUAUCAGGGCAUACAACAUAGCUGCGAGUCUCAAGAGAGUCCAGCCUGCCUGUUGUAAAUGUGCAACAGUCAGGAAGAUGAUAGGUAGUGUAUGAACCAGACCUUGCAAUAUGUCCCUGUAGAUGUUAAUGACAAAUCAAUUCAAAUCUCUUGGGCUUCAGGACAUUUUUUCUUUUGCCUCAUUUCAAGUGGAAAAGGUAAUUCUCAUGUAAAAGUAUGUGUUCUAAAAUUUUAAUUGUUAAGUAAGUCCUGAUAGGAAACAUUUACUUGCAGUAUUUUUCUUUGUUAAUAAGGUGUCCUGCCCAGUCAAGCCUGUGAUUCUGCAGCUUAGGGCACUGGUAUCUCAACACGCUGUGCGAGACAGAUCCAUUCCCAAGGGAUCUUUCACCUGAAAAACAAAACAGUAGAGCAGAAAAAGAAAAAUUACUUACCCAAGGUCAUGAAGGUCUGCAGUAAAGCCAGGAGUGGAGUUCAGAUGUCUUAAUUCAUGGCAUAGCUUCCAGCCACAGGACAUAACAACCUCCGGUAGCAUUUACAAGUGCGGGUCUUUUAAUCUCUCAGAUGUACAGAGUUUAAUUUUUUGGGAACUUUUCUUGUAGCUGGGGCGUGGGAAGACCUGGCAUGUUGUGAGCAGUUGGUAAGAGCAGCUAAAGCACGAAGAUGGGCUCAGAUUAUUGUGACUGCUCUCUUCUUCUGGAAGCCAAUGGAAAGAUGCUGCAAACAUUUGCAUAUUGAGACAAGAUACAUGGUAUCAGCUGUGCUCUUCUAGCCGUAAGAUGGAAGUUAGAAGAUGGUAAGUUUUCCCUUUGUAGGAGCACAAGACCUCACCGAGAAUGCCACUGACGUUUUGAGCUCUGCAGGAGGUAAAGUAUAUGGCGGUGUGUAAAGGCGUUCUGGGCCGGGAGGCGUUCUGGGACUGUUUUGUGAACAAAGGGCACGAUGAGGCCCUUCUGCAAGAGGGACAAGCAAACUAACAGAGUAAAUCCCGCUGAUCAAUUCAGAUAGAAUCUAGACAUAGAUCUGGGGACACUGCAUGUUGUUUUCAUAAGGCACAAAGUGGCCAAGUCCGGAGAGGGAGUCAAGAAGUGAAGAGACUGAGAACCCGGAACCGAUGCUGGGAGGCAUGUUGUGGCCGUUGAAACGAAUGUGUGAAUGAGCUGAAAGUGCAAGGCCAGUAAAGUAAAGCCAGUAAAGCCAAACAGAGGUUAAUCCCUUGGGAAGAGUGUAGCAACAUGAGGGGAGGAAAUACCUCUUCACUGAUUCUCACAAAUGUGUCCAUGUUGUUAUAAAUUUAUACCAGCACAUCUUUCCUAUGAAAGGAAAACCAGGCUCUGUGGAAAUAAGACUACAGUUGUUAUGUGUAUGACAGUGGUGCUGGGAGGUCCUGAUUCCUGCUGAGCCUACACCAUUGCCAGAUGUGGGCAUGGAGGGGGCUGGGAAGGAUUUCAUGCCACAUGCUUGGCAAGGUCUCCAUGGGCUCAAAGAAAAGAAGUAGCUGCUUGUGAAAGGACAGGAAUGGCAAUUCAUAGUAUCCAAUUUUGGCUAAGUUUUGGCCAAAGCAGGUGCUUGAAUAAGUCUAAAGUAUCUUAGCUAGGGACCUCUGCAGCCCCUGAAAAUAACUAUUUAUCUUUCUGGGUGGUAAAUCCAUUUGUUUUCAUGCCAUUUUUUCUUUUAUUGUGCCAAUUGUUGAGGCUCCAGUAAGGAUGGGAGCACCGGGCAGGGAAUGCUGUUAACGGUUUAAAGAUUUUAAAACCAGAGUCCUGUCUUGUCUGAUCUGAAUAAUAGACCACAAGUUCCAGCCAGUGUUUCCUAUGUGAAGUCUAAAAACCUGUGGCUGAGCACCAUGCUUGGUAAUUUAGAGACUCAAUUGCUGAUAAACCCACAGUACCCAUGAGUGGUCUGCCUGGCGCUCAGUUGCACAAAGGUCAGAUUCUAUUUUCAGUGUGGAUGUGGCUGACAACUUUUUAUACAUGGCAUCUAGUUUUAGUUUUCUUUUUUUGCUCCAUUUUCUAGUCUCAGAGAUCCCUCUCUAGGCUGGUGAUUAUAGCUCAUGAACAAGGUGCCUUCCUUUGAAUAUCUUGCUAGACCGAACUCUUUCAGUUUCUCAUAAGAAUAAUGGAUCAAAGAAACUAAGGAGUGUAUGUAUAAUUAGCUGUGAGAUGACUAAACAGUAGGAGUUACAGCACGUCAGGAGGUACUAGUACUGGCCCCAGCAAGAAGGAACAAAAGUGAGUGGGCCACAUUGCUUGCACCAUGUUCCGUUUUUUUAAAUUUUAUUAUUUGUCUGUACUGGGGAAACUCUCAACUGUUCACCUUACUUCAGUUCUCGUAACUCAGCUGGUGCACUGGUUGCAAAUGGAUGAUGUUUCUGUCCUACUACAGUGAGCACUGGCAUUGUACAAGGAAUCUCUGAGGGAUGUGUAUAAGAGGUGAAGAAAUAUAGGCAGGUGGGAGUAUAAAACAUGUUGAAGUGUUUGCAUUGUGUGUGUCGUAUUUAUUUGGCACAGAACCGUACCAGGGACACCAUCCAUGUCAGCAGCAGUAAUUAGUAAUCCCUCAUAAUUCAACAGAAAGGGGGAGAGAGCUGUGACAACAAAAUGGAUUCUGGCCCAACCACCCCAUGCAACUGUUUUGUUUGAGGAUAUUUUCAAUUUAACCUUUAGGUGAAUCUCUUUUCUGUACACAGUUAUGUACGUUUUCUUUGUUGUCUGGAUUCCUCUCAUUUACAUGUCAAUGGUGUAUCUUUACAUGCCUGUUGGCCCAAUUAACCAUUGCUAUUCAUCUUCCUGCAUUUCAGUCACCUCAGGUGCCCGUAGCUAGCAUCCAAGUACAAGGAGGAAUGGGUAAAAGCACUUUAGAUAGAUCACCAGCAAAGCAGUAUGUUGCACAGAUAAAGCCAGAGCCCCUAGACCUUUGUGUUUUGAAAAUCAGAUAAGUCAAAAGAAGACAACGGGACCAUAUCUGGUAGGGACAUUUGUCUGUGUGUGAUGGCGUCUGGGGAGGCCAAACCAGAAGAUGUUUUACUUAGAGCAAGUGCUUCAGGAACAGUUCCCUUCUUGCCUGGAAAGGGAAACUGGAGCCCCUGGGCUCUUUGUGAGCUGAGCCUAGAGCCAGGGGCUGCGGCACGUGCUGGUGGCUCAUCCGUGGCAGAGCUGGCGGUGCCAGCAACCCUGCUCCAUGGGACCAGCAGCAGCUCCUUCACAUCUGCAAUAAGUAGGUUUGGCUUUGAAAUAAGCCACACUUAGGCAACAAUUUUCUCUUCUGUUUGGUGUGGUGGGGAAGCACUUUUCAGCUGCCAGGUCUGCCCCUGCUGAGGCGCCACCUGAUGAAUAAGCAAUGAGCCCUUGCACGCCUGUGUGGGAGUGAGGACUGGAAGGGUUCUAGUUUGAUCAGUGAGGCACAGCCUAGAUCCUCUUGGCCUUUCAGCCCCUCCUUUGCCCUGCGCUCAUGCCAAGGCACGGUAUGUGCUCAAGGGGCUCUGCAAAGGUGGAUGGAGUGGGAGGAGGUUGAUAGUUACAGCUGUCACUGGCUGCCAACUAGGAUUGCCUUUCUUUCCCCCCCUUCUACAUCUAUAAAGCAACUUCUGUAAGAGCAAUCACGGACUUGGAAUUUCAUUACUGUCGAUACAUUUUGUAAUAGCUCCCGACACUACUUUCUCAACUGAUAAUUUAGUUAAGCUCUCUGCUGCACAUGCACAUGCUUUGGUGUGGAGGCAGUGGAAAAUUAUUUAAUAAAACUUAACGCUGCUUUCAUUUCAUGGCUGUUAUUACUCAAUAUUAGUCAUUGCUGAGAAUCAUUCCUUGAACAGCUCUGUCUUAUCAUCUAUAUGCAUUUGGCUAUCACCUCUUUGAAAUGUAGCAGCAUCCUGGGCGGUAAAUGAAGGCAGCUUUCAUUUUAUUCAGCUGUGCAUCUUGGAAGUGGGUGUGAUCUUAACAAACAGAGUUAUUGUAAUUUCUGUGUCUUCUGUGAUAGUUCAGCAUAAAAGAUGACGUUUUAGUUGAAGUCUCAUGGAUGAACAUCAGGACUAAAAAAUUUACAAGUGAUUCUGUUACCCGUGAAGCUUGUUUCUCACCCAAAAUAUAUGUGCUUGAUUCAGUCAAAAUUAAGAAAGGUUUUUUUUCCUUUUUUUCUGUUGGGUCAGAAAUACCCUCUGCUACCUAAUAUGUAUGAAUUUAUAAAAGCUGGGAAGAAUAGACCCAGAUCUUCAAGCUCUGUAUACAAGUGUGAAUAUACAGAUACUGACUCUGGUGGUUCUUGUGCCUGUACAUAUGAAUGAAACUAUGUAUAAAUAUUCAAAAGACUUUAAAGACCAAUAAUGUUUUUAUUGUGGCUUGAAAAGUCUGAAUCAUGUUUGUUUCCUUCUUAUAUUCAUUGUGUAGUGAAGAUAUGUACUAUUGAUGUUUUUUUGGUGAAAAUGAAUGCAUUCCUUUUUCUGAUGUUCUAUUGGAAAGGACAUGCCUGUCUUGUGCAGCCAUGGUGCGCUCUCAGGGUAGAAAAACAUCGUGUUUUGCGUUAGAGUGGAGAUCUAUGAAAAUAACAAGCCUCAAACAUCAAAAUAAUUCUAGGGAGAUGUUUCGUGAUAUACCCUGCUUUGCUAUGUUUUUUUUUUUUUUCUUAUAAUCUUCCAUUCUGAAGGCUACAUUUUCCAGUCAGACAAAAUCAAAUUGCUAUAUGCUUGAUGUUGCUGUGUGUUCCACCCAAAGCGCAGCUGUCAGGCAGCACUACUUGUGUUAUUUCUGCUGUGCAGCUUGGAUAAUUUCUAAGCUGGUUGGAACCUGCUAUGGCCUGAUCUGUGUGAUGGUGCUAUCAACUGCAUCGUGCGUGGCUUUGACCGACUGGCGCAGGGCUAGGAGUGGUCAGGAGUGCUGGAACGUGUGGAGCAUCAGGAAUAUGCAUGUUCGGGUUGAGUGGGUUGGAUGGGGCCGUGCCUGCAGUCUGAUGGAUCGCAAUGUUGGUCCUGAAGAAGGAAGUGCCAUUCGCCAUUCCUUUGUAUGGUUUCAUAUUCAGGUCUUCAUGAAGGUGAAUUCCAUUUGUCCGUGCUGCGUGGGGCUUCCUAAGGAUGUGUUUAUUGGCAGUGCUCUGCCACUGCAGAAAGCCACCGAGCCUGCCUCUAUCGGAGCCUUGCGUUACGCUUUCCCUCGGAUGUGCUACCGAUGUACACGUGGAAACCCUUCUCUUGUUUUCUAUUGCGUGGGUGCCUGGAGUAAACUCUCGCGUGGGUGACUGGGGAAGGUGUUGUCUUACCUUACAGGAACUAUUGUGCAUGAAGGCGAAUGUCUUCUGUGUAAAUGAGGUGUCUCUGGGUGUUCGGUGGGCUUUCUGGGAAGGUAACAAAUGUAACUAAGAAUGAGAAGAGAUCUUCUCUUGUCAUUUCCAAGGUCAUCCCCACUCAAACUUUAUUUAAACAUGAAUUACUUUGUAAAUGAUGAAAGGUCUUCCACAGAAACAUCACUGAAUUUUCUCUGUCUGAUAGAAACUAGUUCUCUCCAGACUUUUUAUCCAAGAUGUAUUGCCAUUUCAUAAGUCAGGUGGUGAACUUGACGUUGUAAGAAAACCAAAUUUCCUGUCACUCAGUUUCAGUUAAUUUCUAUUUGGAGCAAGAUGUGUGGGAAGAAGUAAUGUAUUUUAUUGUCACAUUUAAAAAGAAGAGGCAAACUUCUGGGUGCACAAGAGUUUCUCAGGGGACAGCCUAACUGGUAGGAUAGCUGUGUCUACCUGCCAAGCUGAUUUCUUUCUUUUUUUCCCCUUGCAGCUCUUUGGAGAGCUCCAAUGCAGUUGUUUUCCUCUAGUGUGCCCAACCCUGGCUUUCACCUUGUAGAGGAAUUACAGAGGACUGUAUGAAAAGUUUAUUUGUGAAAAGGUUGUAAUGAUUGUUGAAUACAUAAGGCAAGGCACGGGAGCUACUUACUGAAAUUAACCUGAUACUGGAUGGUAAAAGCCCUGUUGCAGCCAGCUAGUUUUGAUUGUGCUGGGACAUCACCUCUUCUAUUUUAUCUCCACCCCCUUUGUGCGUCACAGAGAUGAGUUCAAUGGAAGUUACUCAAUGAAACCUUGAGAAAUUAAUUUCUGCUCAGACUCAAUCAAAGGUUCAGAGGCAGCUUUUGGGUUGUGCUGGUUUCCAUGCCCAAGAUCUUGCUUCUCCCUCGUGCUGUGCAGGGCGCUGCAUGCCCGUUAGCUGCACAUUGGAGAUCCUGGCUCCCUGGCAGGCAGCUGGCAUAGCUUGUGGUGCUGUGGGAUCCCUCGGGAUAAGUAGAGAUCUAUAAAUGUAUAAUGUGAUUACUGCAGCAUUAUUUUAAAGGUCAGCCUCCCGUAUUUGCACAAGCGUUGAUGAGAGUGACUGUCUGCCACAGAUGAUUUGUGUGGACCAGGAUUGUGUCCAGGUAUUAAUAGUGCUGAU